rnacentral:misc_RNA from 1 species
AUAACAACCCCCUCGAGCUACCCUUUUGGUGUGGCUGCGGUGUUGGGGCUCGCCGCAUCGGCGGCCCUUAAAGACAGUGGCGGUGCCGACGUUGGCUCUACGCGUAGUAAAAUAGCUCGCGACAGAACGGCGCUGGCGACUAGCC